CACGAACGCUGGCGGCAGGCUUAACACAUGCAAGUCGAGCGCCCCGCAAGGGGAGCGGCAGACGGGUGAGUAACGCGUGGGAAUCUACCCAUCUCUACGGAAUAACGCGUGGAAACGUGUGUUAAUACGGUAUACGUCCUUCGGGAGAAAGAUUUAUCGGAGAUGGAUGAGCCCGCGUUGGAUUAGCUAGUUGGUGGGGUAAAGGCCUACCAAGGCGACGAUCCAUAGCUGGUCUGAGAGGAUGAUCAGCCACACUGGGACUGAGACACGGCCCAGACUCCUACGGGAGGCAGCAGUGGGGAAUAUUGGACAAUGGGCGCAAGCCUGAUCCAGCCAUGCCGCGUGAGUGAUGAAGGCCCUAGGGUUGUAAAGCUCUUUCACCGGUGAAGAUAAUGACGGUAACCGGAGAAGAAGCCCCGGCUAACUUCGUGCCAGCCGCCGCCGUAAGAC
rnacentral:rRNA from 1 species